UAAUUCUAUCGUCAUUUAUUAGAGACUUUUUAUAUAUUAGUCCAAAGAGUAGAGCUACUAUACUAUCGAACGCAAUAAAGUGGUUCGUGCUUCCGAUUUUUUAGCCCUUAGAUCAACCACAUUGAUCAUUUCUAAUCAUUGGAUUAAUAUUAUUAACCAAUGGGGACCACUCAAUCCUAGGGGGACCGCUAUCAUUCCAACCGUAAAAUUUUUGAUCCAAAAGCUAAAAAAUCGAAAGCACCAACUACUUUAUGCUUCCCAUAGCAUAGUAGCUCUACACUUAGUUCAAAUACAUUUUUUAGCUGAUGAGUAUGUAUAUAAAUAAUUUUAUUGUCGUUUAUUAGAGACUUUUUAUGUAUUAGUUCAUUUUAUGCAUCGAAAUAAUUUUAUCGUCGUUUAUUAGAUUUAUGUAUUAGUUCAAUGCAUCUUGUAGCUGAUCAGUGAUAGAAUUAUCCUAUUUCGUGUGCGAUGAAAAAGUAUGAAAAAAAAUAUUUUAUUUAUUUUGGUAUUUGAUAUCGCGUUGUGCAUAUCACAAUGAGCUGAUUGUAAUAUAUUUUUUUUGCAUUUUUAUGAAAAAAAAUGCAGUACAUAUUUUCAUACUCUUUCAACCCAACUCAAUUUUAACUCUUAGCGUCAAAUGAACUUUAGGGUACGUUUGGUUCGGAUUAUCCUGACAGGAUUACAAUCAAUUCUAAUAGGAUUACAGACAAUUCUGUCAGAAUUACUAUAUUUGGUUCAUCCAGUAUAUAAUCUGAUCGGUAAUAUAAUAUUACAAAUGGUGCAAAAUUAUACCGAAAAUAUUAACGAACAGGGGAUGGGUAUGUCAAAAGAUUUGAUAAAAAUACAUGAUAAAUAAUUGGCGUAUUUUGUUGCUAAAGAAAAUAAAUAUUUUAUACAAUUACGUGUCGGUACACAUAUAUUUUUUACGACCGGUUCGCAUCAACACGAUCUUGUACCACAGCACUUAAAUUCUUGGUUGUCGCUCAAAGUAUUUUAAAUAUAAACUUAAACUGAACCUUGGAAUAAAAAAAAUUAAACUAAUUUAAAAUAUUAAACUAAUUCUAUAAAAGUAUUUUAAAUAUAAAUUUAUAUACAGAAUAAAGAAAUAUUUUUGAAAAAAAAAGACUGGUCAAAAAUUUUUAUUCCCUCUUUUAAAAUUAAAAUUAAAAUUAAAAUUUUUUUAGUGCGCAUUAUAGGGUCUCCAUAGCAUUAGUGGUGUUGCGGGGGCAAAACGGUCAAAUCGACAACAGGUAUAAUUUUGGAGGUGGUUCAUAGGGGUAUUUUCGUCAUUUAGCUCUAAACAGAACUAAAGCGCCCAAAGAAUCUGGGAAAAAUUGUACGAAAACCCCUCAACUAUUACAGCUUGUCAAAUUGGUUCCUCAAGUUUAACUUUUUUUUUU
rnacentral:lncRNA from 1 species